rnacentral:lncRNA from 1 species
AAUUGAAGUUAACCUUUAAGUAUGGACGUGGAGUCUCACAGGCUACUUAAUGUUUACGUUUUCAUAGUUUCGCCUAUUUCCCUCUGCUCCCCGUGAUUGAGCGGCUCAGUAGCUUUUGUUUUAGUUGCCAAACUACCAACGAGGGUGGAGGUUGUGUCGUCCGGUGAAUGUCACAUUUUGUAGUACAAAAUGUCAAAAAUAAAUAAUGCCGGUAAUUCUAAAUCAAAACGACCGUCUACGGGUUCUAUUCAAAGCCCUGCGCGAAAAAAUUUUCGUGUCGCAGAUCCAACUUUCGAACAAGAAGUGAGUGAGUUGUUAGCUAUGGAUCAGUCUGACAAUGAAGAGAAUAUUGAAGGUUUGUUUAUAGUGGAGUCCGAACUAAUACAAAAUCAUGAGAGUGCCAGUGAUGAAGAUCAGGACCAAGAUCGAUAUACCUAUGUUUGUGUUGGAUGCAAGAAAUCUGUGUGUCUCCAAUGUUCUAGACGUUUGUGCACUGACUGUCAAUAAAUUUGCGUUAUUAGACUGUUGUCAAUAUUUUUUGUAUUAGUUACCUGAAUUAGGUGUUUUGUGUUUUUGGUUCCUUAUGUAUUAUAUUUUAAGAAAAAAAGACUAAUUUUGUUAUAGUAAUAAGUUUGACUGUUUUUAAUAUCUAAAAAUGUAGCCUAAGUAAAUUUAGACUUAAAAGUGCCAUAAUUUUUGAUUUUUCACAUUUUUAUAUAUUUUUUUAAUAAAAGUUGAUUACAUAA